GGAGAGAUGGCCGAGAGGUUGAAGGCGCCGCUCUCGAAAAGCGGUAUGCCCGUAAGGGUAUCGAGGGUUCGAAUCCCUCUCUCUCCGCCA
rnacentral:tRNA from 2 species